UUUGGUUAAGUUAGAAAGGGCGCACGGUGGAUGCCUUGACACUAGGAGUCGAUGAAGGACGGGACUAACGCCGAUAUGCUUCGGGGAGCUGUAAGUAAGCUUUGAUCCGAAGAUUUCCGAAUGGGGAAACCCACCAUACG
rnacentral:rRNA from 1 species